AAGGAAGUGGCUUGGGGAAAG
rnacentral:miRNA from 1 species